GGAGCUUGCUCUUCUUGGAUGAGUUGCGAACGGGUGAGUAACGCGUAGGUAACCUGCCUUGUAGCGGGGGAUAACUAUUGGAAACGAUAGCUAAUACCGCAUAACAAUGGAUGACACAUGUCAUUUAUUUGAAAGGGGCAAUUGCUCCACUACAAGAUGGACCUGCGUUGUAUUAGCUAGUAGGUGAGGUAAUGGCUCACCUAGGCGACGAUACAUAGCCGACCUGAGAGGGUGAUCGGCCACACUGGGACUGAGACACGGCCCAGACUCCUACGGGAGGCAGCAGUAGGGAAUCUUCGGCAAUGGGGGCAACCCUGACCGAGCAACGCCGCGUGAGUGAAGAAGGUUUUCGGAUCGUAAAGCUCUGUUGUAAGUCAAGAACGGGUGUGAGAGUGGAAAGUUCACACUGUGACGGUAGCUUACCAGAAAGGGACGGCUAACUACGUGCCAGCAGCCGCGGUAAUACGUAGGUCCCGAGCGUUGUCCGGAUUUAUUGGGCGUAAAGCGAGCGCAGGCGGUUUGAUAAGUCUGAAGUUAAAGGCUGUGGCUCAACCAUAGUUCGCUUUGGAAACUGUCAAACUUGAGUGCAGAAGGGGAGAGUGGAAUUCCAUGUGUAGCGGUGAAAUGCGUAGAUAUACGGAGGAACACCGGUGGCGAAAGCGGCUCUCUGGUCUGUAACUGACGCUGAGGCUCGAAAGCGUGGGGAGCGAACAGGAUUAGAUACCCUGGUAGUCCACGCCGUAAACGAUGAGUGCUAGGUGUUGGAUCCUUUCCGGGAUUCAGUGCCGCAGCUAACGCAUUAAGCACU
rnacentral:rRNA from 1 species